GAUGAAGAACGUAGCGAAAUGCGAUACGUAAUGUGAAUUGCAGAAUUCAGUGAAUCAUCGAAUCUUUGAACGCAUAUUGCGCUCUCUGGUAUUCCGGAGAGCAUGCUUGUUUGAGUAUCAGUAAACACCUCAACUCCCUUUUCUUUUUUGAAAUUGGAGCUGGACUUGAGUGAUCCCAACGCUUUCUUCCAAGAAAGUGGCGGGUUGCUUGAAAUGCAGGUGCAGCUGAACUUUUCUCUGAGCUAUAAGCAUAUCUAUUUAGUCUGCCUAAAAAACAGAUUAUUACCUUUGCUGCAGCUAACAUAAAGGAGACUAGUUCUUGUGCUGACUGAUGCAGGGUUCACAGAGACAGCUUCGGCUGACUUUGUAAACUCGAUCUCAAAUCAAGUAAGACUACCCGCUGAACUUAAGCAUAUCAAUAAGCGGAGGA
rnacentral:misc_RNA from 1 species